rnacentral:misc_RNA from 1 species
UGCCGGUCCGACACCUGC